rnacentral:lncRNA from 1 species
AUGGACCAGACCCGAAGUGAGCUGAGUCUGAUCCAGGAGAGCCAGCGGGAGCUCAAUAAGAGCAUCGAGCGCUACAGUAAGGCUCUGACUGAAAACAUGAGUCUGACGGACCUGGAGCAGAUCAUUGCUGAGGAGGAGAACAACAGCAGCAGCAGCAGCAGCAUUAGCAGCAGCACUGAAGCCAGGGAGGAUUCAUUGGUUAAAUCCAGGAUGGCCAUGUUUAACAGUGGUGGCUCUAAAGCACUCGGUUCAGACCCUUUCCAGAGCGAAGACCCCUUCAAAAGCGACCUCUUCAGUAAAGCUGAUCCUUUUGGAGGAGAUCCCUUCAAGCAGAACGACCCAUUUAAAGACCCCUUUGCUAAUUCUGAUCCCUUCGGAGAAAGUUCAUCAAGUCAACUCAAGGCCAGUCCUUUCACCAGACGAAUCAGCCAGACGUCAAUGAGUCCAAAACCCAAAGACUCGGAUCCGUUUGCUGCGUCAGACCCGUUCAGUGGCGACGCUUUUGGAGGGAAAGGAGGCUUCGCUGAUUUUUCUCAAAUGUCAAAGAGUUCAGAGUCGAUAAACCGAAGGCCGACGUACCCGUUGCCUCCUCCAAAAAAACCGGGACCACAGAGACCAGCGCCGCCGCCGUACGAAUGUAUUAUGACGUUUAUCUAGUUGAUUGUAUCAUGCGGUGGAGAAGAACGAAAUGAAGUGCUCAUCAUGUGGUGUGGUAAUGUUAUUAAUAUUAAGGGAUUUCGUGUGCUGCAUUCCUGAAAUGAGAUUCCUAAAAUGAAUAUUGGAUUUUAUAAUGAAUAUUUGAUUUAUGAUUAUUAUUAAACAUGUUUGUUUAUCUGUAGCCAGCUCUAACUCGGUCCAGACUGAAUGCUGAAAUCUGGAACUCUAUUUAAAUGGUUGAAAAUCCAGGUUGAUUUCAGAUUAAAUUCAGCUGACAGAAAAUAAUUAAUAUAUCUUUGAUUUUUUAAAGCAAAAUAUAAUACUUAAAAUACUAUAAAAGUGUUACUUUAAUUUAAAAAAUGGUAUCAUACACUGUAAAAAAAUGCAGGGUUCCACACAAUUCAUUCAUGUUGUCCCAACACAAAUCGAUUAAGUUAACUUUACACUUUUUUAACAAUUUUAUGUGGAUUGAACAUAAAAAAAUUAUGUAGUCCCAAAUACAUCUUAAGAAUUGUGUUAAUUCAGCUUAUUUAAAAUAAGUACUUUGAACAAGCAAGUAUAUUAUAUUAUAAUUAUUAUAUUUUAUUUGUUAUAUUAUACUAUUUUUAUUAUAUUAUACUAUAUUUAUUAUAUUAUACUACAUUAUACUAUAUUUAUUAUAUUAUACCUAAUAUAUUUUAUUUAUUAUAUUAUAUUUUAUUAGAUUUUAUUUAUUAUAUUGUAUUGUACUAUAUUUAUUGUAUUUUAUUUAGUAUAUUAUAUUAUAUUUAUUAGAUUUUAUUUGUUGUAUUAUAUUAUAUUUAUUAGAUUUUAUUUAUUAUAUUAUACUAUAUUUAUUGUAUUUUA